rnacentral:rRNA from 1 species
GACGAACGCUGGCGGCGUGCUUAACACAUGCAAGUCGAACGGAAAGGCCUCUUUCGGGGGGUACUCGAGUGGCGAACGGGUGAGUAACACGUGAGUAACCUGCCCUUGACUUUGGGAUAACUUCAGGAAACUGGGGCUAAUACCGGAUAGGAGCUCCUGCUGCAUGGUGGGGGUUGGAAAGUUUCGGCGGUUUGGGGUGGACUCGCGGCUUAUCAGCUUGUUUGGGGGGUAGUGGCUUAACAAGGCUUUGACGGGUAGCCGGCCUGGGAGGGUGACCGGCCAAAUUGGGACUGGGAUACGGCCCAGGCUCCUACGGGGGGGAAGAGUGGGGAAUAUUUCCCAAUGGGGGGAAGCCUGAUGCAACAACGCCGGGUGCGGGAAGACGGCCUUCGGGUUGUAAACCGCUUUCGCUCAUGACGGAGCUUUGUGUGACGGUAGUGGGUAAAGAAGCACCGGCUAACUACGUG